rnacentral:rRNA from 1 species
GACGAACGCUGGCGGCGUGCCUAAUACAUGCAAGUCGAACGAACUCUGGUAUUGAUUGGUGCUUGCAUCAUGAUUUAAAUUUGAGUGAGUGGCGAACUGGUGAGUAACACGUGGGAAACCUGCCCAGAAGCGGGGGAUAACACCUGGAAACAGAUGCUAAUACCGCAUAACAACUUGGACCGCAUGGUCCGAGUUUGAAAGAUGGCUUCGGCUAUCACUUUUGGAUGGUCCCGCGGCGUAUUAGCUAGAUGGUGGGGUAACGGCUCACCAUGGCAAUGAUACGUAGCCGACCUGAGAGGGUAAUCGGCCACAUUGGGACUGAGACACGGCCCAAACUCCUACGGGAGGCAGCAGUAGGGAAUCUUCCACAAUGGACGAAAGUCUGAUGGAGCAACGCCGCGUGAGUGAAGAAGGGUUUCGGCUCGUAAAACUCUGUUGUUAAAGAAGAACAUAUCUGAGAGUAACUGUUCAGGUAUUGACGGUAUUUAACCAGAAAGCCACGGCUAACUACGUGCCAGCAGCCGCGGUAAUACGUAGGUGGCAAGCGUUGUCCGGAUUUAUUGGGCGUAAAGCGAGCGCAGGCGGUUUUUUAAGUCUGAUGUGAAAGCCUUCGGCUCAACCGAAGAAGUGCAUCGGAAACUGGGAAACUUGAGUGCAGAAGAGGACAGUGGAACUCCAUGUGUAGCGGUGAAAUGCGUAGAUAUAUGGAAGAACACCAGUGGCGAAGGCGGCUGUCUGGUCUGUAACUGACGCUGAGGCUCGAAAGUAUGGGUAGCAAACAGGAUUAGAUACCCUGGUAGUCCAUACCGUAAACGAUGAAUGCUAAGUGUUGGAGGGUUUCCGCCCUUCAGUGCUGCAGCUAACGCAUUAAGCAUUCCGCCUGGGGAGUACGGCCGCAAGGCUGAAACUCAAAGGAAUUGACGGGGGCCCGCACAAGCGGUGGAGCAUGUGGUUUAAUUCGAAGCUACGCGAAGAACCUUACCAGGUCUUGACAUACUAUGCAAAUCUAAGAGAUUAGACGUUCCCUUCGGGGACAUGGAUACAGGUGGUGCAUGGUUGUCGUCAGCUCGUGUCGUGAGAUGUUGGGUUAAGUCCCGCAACGAGCGCAACCCUUAUUAUCAGUUGCCAGCAUUAAGUUGGGCACUCUGGUGAGACUGCCGGUGACAAACCGGAGGAAGGUGGGGAUGACGUCAAAUCAUCAUGCCCCUUAUGACCUGGGCUACACACGUGCUACAAUGGAUGGUACAACGAGUUGCGAACUCGCGAGAGUAAGCUAAUCUCUUAAAGCCAUUCUCAGUUCGGAUUGUAGGCUGCAACUCGCCUACAUGAAGUCGGAAUCGCUAGUAAUCGCGGAUCAGCAUGCCGCGGUGAAUACGUUCCCGGGCCUUGUACACACCGCCCGUCACACCAUGAGAGUUUGUAACACCCAAAGUCGGUGGGGUAACCUUUUAGGAACCAGCCGCCUAAGGUGGGACAGAUGAUUAGGGUGAAGUCGUAACAAGGUAGCCGUAGAAUCGUCGACCUGCA